AUGCUUCUUAGUAGAAAUUAUGGCUUAUUUUCAGGAAUAAACCUUAGUAAAAUAUUUUUUAAUUAUGGAGAUAUAUUUGAAUUUCAGAUGUGUUAUAGAAGUUAUUUAUGAAAUUUUACGGUUUUCAUAUUUUAUGUCCUGUAACAGUGGAAUGCGAUGAAUUUAUCAUUAGAGUCACCCAGAUAUGAUUAAGUAUCUUAGAAUUAGCAUGGCGUGAUAGAUAAAUAUUUGGAAUGUCGAAUUUAAGCGGAGUUAUGGUUUCAGACUAUUUCACCCCUAAUUUAUUAUAUUACUUCUUAGUAAGUAAAGGGCAAAUGGGUCAUUUGCAUUUUUAUUUAUUUUUGGGGAGUUAGUGAAAUUCAUAGUAAUCACUAGGUUAUUCUAGAUGGUAAAAUGUUGAAUUAGAUUUAAUAUACUAAGCUAUUCUUUUAAACAUUUUACACAAAAAUCACAAAAUAGGCCUUUCUCUUUUUGCUUUUCUCUUAUUCGGCUAGAACCACCAAAGACAAAACCAGGAAAUUUUCACCCAUUUCAGAUUAAUUCAAGCUUAAUUGGUUCUGCAAGAAUUUUUGGUAGCUAGUGUUAUCUCAAGCGGAAUAUAAUGACUCUUUCCGUUCAGAUCUCUAGCCCUUGAUUCCUUUCUGUAGCAGAGCAUUAUCAAGAUCUGAACCUGGAUCUCUUUCUCUCCUUCUUGUUGAUUGGAUUCUUCACUGUCUUACAUACUAUGAUUGAUGACCAACUUGAAGUGUGUGGGCACUUACUCAAUCACUAAUGGAUGAAAUUAUUUAGUGAAGAAAGGCUAUAGGUUUCGAAUUGAAGAAGAAAGAAGAAGGAAGAUGUCUCAUCUAGGUUUUUAGCUUUGGAGACAUUAGUUUGGAUGAAGAGACCAUAGCCUUCCUUUUAUACUAUUCUUCAAUAGGGUUAGGGUUGAAUUAUUAGGAAUAAAAAAUUGAUAAAAAUAGAGUAAAAUAAGCACCCUAUAUGGCCGACCACUUAAUGGGCCCCACAUUGGUUUGGGCUUUGUCAUUUUUCUCAACUAUUUUACUUAUUUUUCACAAAUACCACUUUUUGCAACUUCAACCCUAUAAAUGCCAAAACUAUUUAUUUAAUAAUUAAAAUAACUAUCAAAUAAAAUUGUCAUUUAUAAUAUUUAUUAAUUA